rnacentral:rRNA from 1 species
GCCCAAGAGAUCGGGAUAACACCUGGAAACAGAUGCUAAUACCGGAUAACAACAGAUGAUGCCUAUCAACUGUUUAAAAGAUGGUUCUGCUAUCACUCUUGGAUGGACCUGCGGUGCAUUAGCUAGUCGGUAGGGUAACGGCCUACCAAGGCGAUGAUGCAUAGCCGAGUUGAGAGACUGAUCGGCCACAUUGGGACUGAGACACGGCCCAAACUCCUACGGGAGGCAGCAGCG